GGAUGCAGCAUCGGUAUCAGGAAUGGCGAGUGAACCUUUCUAUUUUUACUUGACGACAGAAGGAAAAAAACAAUGUAAAGAAACGAAAUAUCUAGAGAGGACUGUGCAAUCCUUAAUCAAGAUGGAAGAAAUAAAAGCCAUGGCAGGCGACGUCUUUGAAUCCAUUACAACCACUGUAACACACAGAGACAUUGACUCUCUCUACAACAAGAUAAAG